UACGUAGGGGGCAAGCGUUGUCCGGAAUCAUUGGGCGUAAAGCGCGUGUAGGCGGCUCGAUAAGUCUGCUGUGAAAGUCCAAGGCUCAACCUUGGGAUGCCGGUGGAUACUGUCGAGCUCGAGUCCGGAAGAGGAGUGUGGAAUUCCUGGUGUAGCGGUGAAAUGCGCAGAUAUCAGGAAGAACACCUAUGGCGAAGGCAGCUCUCUGGGACGGUACUGACGCUGAGACGCGAAAGCGUGGGGAGCGAACAGG
rnacentral:rRNA from 1 species